AUUGAACGCUGGCGGCAUGCCUUACACAUGCAAGUCGAACGGCAGCGGACCUUCGGGUGCCGGCGAGUGGCGAACGGGUGAGUAAUAUAUCGGAACGUACCUUUCAGUGGGGGAUAACGUAGCGAAAGUUUACGCUAAUACCGCAUAUUCUGUGAGCAGGAAAGCAGGGGAUCGCAAGACCUUGCGCUGAUUGAGCGGCCGAUAUCAGAUUAGCUAGUUGUGAGGUAAGGCUCACCAAGGCGACGAUCUGUAGCGGGUCUGAGAGGAUGAUCCGCCACACUGGAACUGAGACACGGUCCAGACUCCUACGGGAGGCAGCAGUGGGGAAUUUUGGACAAUGGGCGCAAGCCUGAUCCAGCCAUGCCGCGUGAGUGAAGAAGGCC
rnacentral:rRNA from 1 species